rnacentral:misc_RNA from 1 species
GAUGAAGAACGCAGCGAAAUGCGAUACGUAAUGUGAAUUGCAGAAUUCAGUGAAUCAUCGAGUCUUUGAACGCACAUUGCGCCCCCUGGUAUUCCGGGGGGCAUGCCUGUCCGAGCGUCAUUGCUGCCCUCAAGCACGGCUUGUGUGUUGGGCCUCCGUCCUCCUCCCGGGGGACGGGCCCGAAAGGCAGCGGCGGCACCGCGUCCGGUCCUCGAGCGUAUGGGGCUUCGUCACCCGCUCUUGUAGGCCCGGCCGGCGCUUGCCGACACAUCAAUCUUUUUUCCAGGUUGACUUCGGAUCAGGUAGGGAUACCCGCUGAACUUAAGCAUAUCAAUAAGCGGAGGA